rnacentral:rRNA from 1 species
ACUCGAGUGGCGAACGGGUGAGUAACACGUGGGUGAUCUGCCCUGCACUCUGGGAUAAGCCUGGGAAACUGGGUCUAAUACCGGAUAGGACCAUGCUUUAGUGUGUGUGGUGGAAAGUUUUUUCGGUGUAGGAUGAGCCCGCGGCCUAUCAGCUUGUUGGUGGGGUAAUGGCCUACCAAGGCGGCGACGGGUAGCCGGACUGAGAGGUUGGUCGGCCACAUUGGGACUGAGAUACGGCCCAG